AAAUCAAUUAAGGCACAAGAUUGGAGAAGGGAUGCAGGUAAUUUAAUCAUAGAAACAUUUAUGGCAGCAUCGGCAUCCUCCAACACGAUUAGUAAGCAUGUCUAUUAUAGAGCACCAGAAGUUUGGCAACAACGGUCCUUUCACUCCCCUUGAAAAUAUGUAUGUACAACCCUCCGCAUAUCAUAAAUAUUCAGCAAUACAUACCAAAGCUGUAGUUGAUCUGUACAAACACAAUUUACACGGAAGGAAGAACAUUAUGUUUCCUAAGAUUUUCUUUGCAGAUAUGUGGUUCACAAUUCAGCAAGAGCAUGCCAUCACUGAUGAUGCAUGAGUACAAUGACAUGCAUUCUGUACUCAGUACCAAUGCACACACAGGAAGUGAUCAGACCCUAGAGUACUAUGCGUUUGCUUGACAACAUUAUUUGCCUCCUCUUGGGUUGGUUUGUCCUGUCAUUAUGAAAAGGAAGUUUAGGUUCUUGUAGGAAAAAUAUCUAACAUGUGGCAUACACCAACGUGUAAUCUCAAAACUGAAAAUUUGUUGGAAUUGAUCCAGUUAUUGAGCAUGCCAUGCUACAGAUAUGGAGGGAGAGAUUAACGAAUGAAUUUCUAUCCCUGAUGGUAGACAAAGCUAACUGCUCACAGAACAAUUCACACUCUGAUAUUAUGGGCAUAUACUAAAGCAUUUUGAGAAGCACAAACUUAAGCAAAGAGACCAUGAAUCUAUUUUGGUACGCUUCUUCUGUAGCUAUCACUUCAGGUAUCAAAAUGUUGAUGUGACAUCUGGUGUUCGAAGUAGAUUUGAAUGCUAGCAUACCUGAAAACUAUGCCAACAUUUUUUCUUUUGGACCUUCUUUAAGUAGGUGAGUAUUUUUCGGAUAACAACUCUGCUUUACCUCAAAAUUGAUCAACCAGUGUGCCAAUGAAUAGAGCUAUAGAAUUCAGUAAAGUAUGUACUCAUGUACUCCAGAUCCUUGCGAUUCGAACAGUGAACUUCCAACGAUAGGACUGCCUCUCACGUCCUUUCGCGGCGGGACUCCAUCGAUUAAUUCCUGCUGAUGUAAAAAGAGAAAGUGAUUAAUAUAGGAUAGUUAUAGAUUAGCCACCAAGAAAAAAGGCAAAUACAAAAGGAAAAAUAAGCUGUAAUAGUUAUCCAUUGCUUAGUCUAAAGAGAGAGCACAUGCAACAAUGCAUUUUUUAUCACUUAUAAUUGUUUCUACUAAUUUCCCUUAUCCAAAUAACCUGGCAAAUUGUACUCACAAACUAAACAUGCACAUAUUAUUGAUAGCCCAGUUCAAUUCUUUAAACAUAUGUUACCUAAACUAUUUCAAAAUCACUAGGAAACUAAGCAUAUAUGACAUGUACAGUGACUUGUAACAACAUAUGAACCAACUAUGUCACUGAUCCUGAUGCAUAUAGAUGAGUGAGUGUGAUAUGUCAUUAUAAUAUGCAACAACACUCAAGUGUGUACUGUUUUAGGCUGCAUGACAUGCUUUCAUAAAAAACAGAUCUUGCUGAUAUAAAAGAAACCCAUUGUUCAUUAUUUGCUUUAUUGGUACCAAGGAAAUGCAAGAACAUGAGUUACCGCUUCUAUUGUCUUAUUCAACCUGGGGAAAUUAUGACCACAAGCUAUGCAAUGUGUUCUUAUCUCCAUGCUAUCCCUCGCGCUUUCAGGUAGCUCAAGUCACACUCAUUGUGUCUAUCGACAGGCCCAUACCAAUAAAUUUUCAAACAUGUUUAUGAUGAAAAUACAAAUAUUUCAAAUCAAUAGAAUAGAAAAAAUAGUUACAAAUUUAUUGUUCCAUGGCAACUCCUUGUUUCUAAAUUAAGUACCGGUUCAGUUGUCUAAAGUUGACUUUCGUACUUAUCUAUAAUCAUAAGAAGUAAAACAAAGAUAUUUUUGUUUAGGACAGUCACUUAAAAUGUAAAAUACCCUAAUAAAAAAGAACUUACACCAAAGUUUAGCUGAGUGCAACUGAAAAAAUAGUGAAAUUUACUAUUUUUUUAGUGCCAGGUCGAUUGUCAUAGAUCAUAUCUGACUCAGUUAGCCGAUGAAUGGUUCAUUUCAUAAAGUCAAAAUAUAUAUACAUACUUUCAAGUGUGUAGUACUCCAUAAGUUUUUUUAAUUAACAUGCACAACGGCUAAAUGCAUAACUGAACAUACAUUAAAACCUAGAAGGUCCCUGAUGGCUGAUAUUUAGACUAAUCUACAUGGUCUGGAAGCUAAAUCACUAUGGAUAACAGAACAUCUCCAGGCAAGACCAGAGGAUCUCAGUCUAUUUCCCUAUCGGAUAAAAUCUCAAAGAGCAAGAUUAUAGCAAAAAGGAAGCGUACCAUCAUGAAGUAAUACAUGAGUAUGUGCUACAUCUUGAGCUUGUGUUGGUUUUCCUUGAAGAGGAAAGGGUGAUGCAGCAAAGUAGCGUAAGUAUUUCCCUCAGUUUUUGAGAACCAAGGUAUCAAUCCAGUCGGAGGCUCCUCAAAAGUCCCAUGCACCUACACAAACAAACAAGAACCUCGCAACCAACGCAAUAAAGGGGUUGUCAAUUCCUUCAUGACCACUUGCAAAAGUGAGAUCUGAUUGUGAUAAUUUGGUAAUAUAAAUAUUUUUGGUAUGUUUAUGAUAUAGAUUGGAAAAUAAAAGAUGCAGAUAAAAGUAGAUGGAAAACUUAUAUGAUAAAAGGUAGACCCGGGGGCCAUAGGUUUCACCAGUGGCUUCUCUCAAGAUAGCAUAAGUAUUACGGUGGGUGAACAAAUUACUAUGGAGCAAUUAAUAGAAAAGCGCAUAGUUAUGAGAUUAUCUAGGCAUGAUCAUGUAUAUAGGCAUCAUGUCCGUGACAAGUAGACCGACUCCUGCCUGCAUCUACUACUAUUACUCCACACAUCGACCGACUCCUGCCUGCAUCUAGAGUAUUAAGUUCAUAAGAACAGAGUAAUGCAUUAAGAAAUAUGACAUGAUGUAGAGGGAUAAACUCAUGCAAUAUGAUAUAAACCCCAUCUUUUUAUCCUCGAUGGUAACAAUAAAAUAUGUGCCUUGCUGCCCAUGCUGUCACUGGGAAAGGACAUCGCAAGAUUGAACCCAAAGCUAAGCACUUGUCCCAUUGCGAGAAAGAUCAAUCUAGUAGGCCAAACCAAACUGAUAAUUUGAAGAGACUUGCAAAGAUAACUUAAUCACACAUAAAAGAAUUCAGAGGAGAUUCAAAUAUUUCUCAUAGAUAAACUUGAUCAUAAACCCACAAUUCAUCGGAUCUCGACAAAAACACCGCAAAAAGAGUUACAUCGAAUAGAUCUCCAAGAAGAUCAAGGAGAACUUGCUAUUGAGAAUCAAAGAGAGAGAAGAAGCCAUCUAGCUAAUAACUAUGGACCCAAAGGUCUGUGGUAAACUACUCACAACUCAUCGGAGAGACCUUGGAGAUGAUGUAGAGGCCCUCCGUGGUCGAUCCCCCCUCCGGCGGAGCGCCAACGAAGGCUCCAAGAUGGGAUCUCACGGAUACAGAAGGUUGUGGCAGUGGAAAUAGUUUUUCGUGGUGCUCCCGGAUGUUUUUGGGGUACGUGGGUAUAUAUAGGAGGAAGAAGUAGGUCGGUGGACGCUCGAGGAGCCCACGAGGGUGGGGGGCGUGCCGGGCACCCUCGUGGCCACCUCCUCUGUUGCUUGACGUCCACUCCAAGUCCCCUGGAUUGCGUUUGUUCCAAAAAGAUCGCUCCCGAAGGUUUCAUUCCGUUUGGACUCCGUUUGAUAUUCCUUUUCUUCGAAGCACUGAAAUAGGCAAAAAAAUAGCAAUUUGGGCUGGGCCUCUGGUUAGUAGGUUAGUCCCAAAAAUGAUAUAGAAGUGUAAAGUAAAGCCCAUAAACAUCCAAAAUGGUUAAUAUAAUAGCAUGGAACAUUCAAAAAUUAUAGAUACGUUGGAGACAUAUCAAGCAUCCCCAAGCUUAAUUUCUGCUCGUCCUCGAGUAGGUAAAUGAUAAAAAUAGAACUUUUGAUGUGGAAUGCUACCUAUCAUAAUUCUCAAUGUAAUUUUCUUUAUUGUGGCAUGAAUGUUCAGAUCCAAAUGAUUUAAAAAAAAGUUCAUAUUGACAUAAGAAAUAGUAAUACUUCAAGCAUACUAAUCAAAGUAACCAUGUCUUCUCAAAAUAACAUGGCUAAAGAAAGUUCAUCCCUACAAAAUCAUAUAGUUUGGUCAUGCUCCAUUUUUGUCACACAAGAAUGCUCUCAUCUUGCACACCCUCGAUGACAAGCCAAGCAAUUGUUUCAUACUUUAGCAAUCUCAAACUUUUUUCAACUUUCACGCAAUACAUGAGCGUGAGCCAUGGAUAUAGCACUAUGAGUGGAAUAGAAUAUGAUGAUGGAGGUUGUGUGGAGAAGACAAAAAAAGGAAUAAAGUCUCAUGUUAACGAGGCUAAUCAACGGCUACAAAGAUGCCCAUCAAUUGAUGUCAACAUGAGGAGUAGGGAUUGCCAUGCAAGGGAUGCGCUAGAGCUAUAAAUGUAUGAAGCUCAACAAAAGAAACUAAGUGGGUGUGCAUCCAACUUGCUUGCUCACGAAGACCUAGGGCAUUUUGAGGAAGCCCAUCAUAGGAAUAUACAAGCGAAGUUCUAUAAUGAAAAAUUCCCACUAGUAUAUGAAAGUGACAACAAAUGAGACUCUCUAUAUGAAGAACAUGGUGCUACUUUGAAGCACAAGUGUGGAAAAAGAUAGUAACAUUGUCCCCCUUUUUUCCUUUUUUGGGCCUUUCCUUUUUUUGGCCUUUCUCUUUUUUUAUAAGGGACAAUGAUCUAAUAAUGAUGAUCAUCACACUUCUAUUUAUUUACAACUCAUGAGUUACAAAUCAAAACUAGAACAAGAUAUGACUCUAUAUGAAUGCCUCCGGUGGUGUACCGGGAUGGGCAAUGAAUCAAGGUGGCUUUGCCACAAAUACAAUGUCAACUACAUAAUCAUGCAAGGCAAUAUGACAAUGAUGAUGUGUGUCAUGAUGAUGAAUGGAACGGUGGAAAGUUGCAUGUCAAUAUAUCUCGGAAUGGCUAUGGAAAUGCCAUAAUAGGUACGUAUGGUGGCUGUUUUGAGGAAGAUAUAAGGAGGUUUAUGUGUGAUAGAGCGUAUCGUAUCACGGGGUUUGGAUGCAUCGCCGAAGUUUGCACCAACUCUCAAGGUGAGAAAGGGCAAUGCACGGUACCGAAGAGGCUAGCAAUGAUGGAAGGGUGAGAGUGCGUAUAAUCCAUGGACUCAACAUUAGUCAUAAACAACUCAUAUACUUAUUGCAAAAAUCUUCAAGUCAUCAAAAACCAAGAACUACGCGAAUGCUCCUAGGGGGAUAGAUUGGUAGGAAAAGACCAUCGUUCGUCCCCGACCGCCACUCAUAAGGAUGACAAUCUAAGAACACCUCAUAUUUCAAAUUUGUUACACAACGGUUACCAUACGUGCAUGCUACGGGACUUGCCAACUUCAACACAAGCAUUCUUUAAAUUCACAAUUACCCAACUAGCAUGACUCUAAUAUCACCACCUCCAUAUCUCAAAACAAUUAUCAAGCAUCAAAUUGAUCAUAGCAUCCAAUUCACUUCCUAUGAUAGUUUUUAUUAUACCCAACUUGGAUGCUCAUCAUUCCAGGACCAAUUUUAUAACCAUAGAAAAUACCAUGCUGUCCUAAGAGACUCUCAAAAUUAUAUAAGUGAAGCAUGAGAGAUCAAUAAUUUCUAAAAAAUCAAGCCACCACCGUGCUCUAAAAGAUAUAAGUGAAGCACUAGAGCAAAACUAUCUAGCUCAAAAGAUAUAAGUGAAGCACAUAGAGUAUACUAAUAAAUUCCAAUCAAGUGGGUUUCUCCCAAAAGGUGUGUACAGCAAGGAUGAUUGUGGUAAACUAAAAAGCAAAGACUGAUAUCAUACAAGACACUCCAAGCAAAACAUAUAUCAUGUGGCGAAUAAAAAUAUAACUCCAAGUAAAGUUAUCGAUAGACGAAGAUGAAAGAGGGGAUGCCUUCUGGGCAUCCCCAAGCUUAGGCUUUUGGUUAUCCUUGAAUAUAUUGUGGUGCCAUGGGCAUCCCCAAGCUUAGGCUCUUGCCACUCCUUAUUCCAUAGUCCGUCAAAUCUUUACCCAAAACUUGAAAACUUCACAACACAAAACUCAACAGGAAAUCUCAUAAGCUCCGUUAGUGCAAGAAAGAAAAACCACCACAUAAGGUACUGUAAUAAACUCAUUCUUUAUUUAUAUUGGUGUUAAACCUAAUGUAUUCCAACUUCUCUAUGGUCCAUAACUACCAAUACUAGCCAUAGAUGCAUCAAAAUAAGCAAACAACACAUGAAAAACAGAAUCUGUCAAAAACAGAACAGUCUGUAGCAAUCUGUAACUUUCGAAUACUUCUGGAACUCUAAACAUCCUACCAAAAUAGGAAGUCCUGGAAAAUUUGUCUAUUGAUCUACAUCGAAAAGAAUCAACACCAAAUCACGUUUCUGUGAUUUACUAAAAUUAUUUUCGUGCGUGCAAAAGUUUCUGUUUUUCAGCAGAAUCAAAUUAACUAUCACCAUAGGUUAUCCUAUAGGUUCUACUUGGCACAAACACUAAUUAAAACAUGAAAACACAUCUAAACAGAAGCUAGAUGAAAUAUUUAUUACUAAACAGAAGCAAAAAGCAAAAAUAAAAUAAAAUUGGGUUGCCUCCCAACUAGCGCUAUCGUUUAACGCCCCUAGCUAGGCAUAAAAGCAAGGAUAGAUCUAAGUAGUGCCAUAAUAAUAAGAUAGAUCACGAAAACUCAUCUCAUAUUCUCUACGUUCAACAGCAAGUUUUCUUUGAGGCAAUCAAAAGUAAUCAAAAGGGCUAACUUUAAUGGGACAAAAGUCCCCAAGAUCAAGCUCAGGAGGUAUGGGUUCCUCCUUUGGCCCUUCAUAUUGCACAACCAAUUCAUCAUUCUAAACAUUCUUUUGACAGAACCUCUUGUGUCUACACUCAAGGGAAUAUCCUAGCUAAUUAUUUCAAAUAGCAAAAUCAUUAUUAAGUUCAGAAAUUUUGUCAAUUAGAACAGUGGUAGGAACCUUUUUUCUAAGGUUUUCAUUAAAAGCAACAUAGUCCAAAGAUUGGAAACACAUUAUUUCCUCUUGAUCGAAGAGGAUCACUUCUAUGGGGGGACGGCCGGCGUCCACCCUAUAGUGCGCAAAAAUUUCUUUGGCUUCUUUUAUUAUAAAUCUGAACUCAUGUGCCAAAAAGAUAGUAGCCGCGCGCUUAACAGAAGAAUGCUCAAUAUUAGAAAAUUCUAGGAAAAUCCUUUGUAUGCAAGGAUGCAUGUGCAUAAACUGUCUUUCAAGUUCAACUAUAAGCAUGGCGAUAGCAUCCGCAAGACUACUAGUUCUAUGCAAGAUAGAACUACCCAUAGAAGGUAAAGCACCGGCACAAGUAAAGAAAUCUUGAAUAACUCCUUUUCCAAUAAUAUUACCACUACCGAUUCGAACCUUUUUAGUAUGUAAGAUAGGGGGUUCUUCAGCAAGAGCAUCAAAGUUUUCCAUGUUAUCAUUAUUGUCCAUAUCGACGAUAAUCUCCCCAAUUUUAGACAUAACGACAGAAAAAGCGAGGAGAAAGAGAAAGAGGGAGGCAAACGGAAAGAGAGGGCGAAUAAAACGGCAAGGGUGAAGUGGGGGAGAGGAAAACGAGAGGCAAAUGGCAAAUAAUGUAAUGCGAGGGAGAUGAGUUUGUGAUAGGUACUUGGUAUGUCUUGACUUGAGCGAAGACCUCCCCGGCAACGGCGCCAGAAAUCCUUCUUGAUACGUCUUGAGCUUGCGUUGGUUUUCCUUGAAGAGGAAAGGGUGAUGUAGCAAAGUAGUGUAAGUAUUUCCCUCAUUUUUUGAGAACCAAGGUAUCAAUCCAGUAGGAGGCUCCUCAAAAGUCCCACGCACCUACACAAACAAACAAGAACCUUGCAACCAACAAAAUAAAGGGGUUGUCAAUCCCUUCACGUUCACUUGCGAAAGUGAGAUCUGAUAGAGAUAAUAUGAUAACAUAAUUUUUUUGGUAUUUUUAUGAUAUAGAUUUGAAAAUAAACGAUGCAAAUAAAAGUAGAUGAAAAACUUAUAUGAUAAAAGGUAGACCCCGGGGCCAUAGGUUUCAUUAGUGGCUUCUCUCAAGAUAGCAUAAGUAUUACGGUGGGUGAACAAAUUACUAUCGAGCAAUUGAUAGAACAGCACAUAGUUAUGAGAUUAUCUAGGCAUGAUCAUGUAUAUAGGCAUCACGUCCAUGACAAGUAGACCGACUCCUUCCUGCAUCUACUACUAUUACUCCACACAUCGACCGACUCUUGCCUGCAUCUAGAGUAUUAAGUUCAUAGGAACAGAGUAACGCAUUAAGAAAGAUGACAUGAUGUAGAGGGAUAAACUCACGCAAUAUGAUAUAAACCCCAUCUUUUUAUCCUCGAUGGCAACAAUACAAUACGUGCCUUGCUGCCCCUGCUGUCAUUGGGAAAGGACACCGAAAGAUUGAACCCAAAGCUAAGUACUUCUUCCAUAGCAAGAAAGAUCAAUCUAGUAGGCCAAACCAAACUGAUAAUUCGAAGAGACUUGCAAAGAUAACUUAAUCACACAUAAAAGAAUUCAGAGGAGAUUCAAAUAUUUCUCAUAGAUAAACUUGAUCAUAAACCCACAAUUCAUUAGAUCUCGAUAAACACACCGCAAAAAGAGUUACAUUGAAUAGAUGUCCAAGAAGAUCAAGGAGAACUUGGUAUUGAGAAUCAAAGAGAGAGAGAAGAAGCCAUCCAGGUAAUAACUAUGGACCCGAAGGUCUGUGGUAAACUACUCACAACUCAUCGGAGAGGCCUUGGAGAUGAUGUAGAGGCCCUCCGUGGUCGAUUCCCCCUCCGGCGGAGCGCCGACGAAGGCUCCAAGAUGGGAUCUCGCGGAUACAGAAGGUUGCGGCAGUGAAAAUAGUUUUUCGUGGUGCUCCUAGAUGUUUUCGGGGUACAUGGGUAUAUAUAGGAGGAAGAAGUAGAUCGGUGGACGCUCGAGGGGCCCACGAGCGUGGGGGGCACGCCCACCCCUAGGGAGUGCACCGGGCACCCUCGUGGCUGCCUCCUCUAUUGCUUGACGUCCACUCCAAGUCCCCUGGAUUACGUUUGUUCCAAAAAGAUCACUCGCGAAGAUUUCAUUCCGUUUGGACUCCGUUUGAUAUUCCUUUUGUUCAAAACACUGAAAUAGGCAAAAAAAACAGCAAUUUGGGCUGGGCCUCCGGUUAGUAGGUUAGUCCCAAAAAUGAUAUAAAAGUGUAAAGUAAAGCCCAUAAACAUCCAAAACGGGUAAUAUAAUAGUAUGGAACAAUCAAAAAUUAUAGAUACGUUGGAGACGUAUCAGUAUGCCAGCAAUCCAUGAGAUUGUGCAUCACGUCCGUCUUUCGGUUUAAGAGAAAUUGAUAAGAAUUUAACAUUACACGUGCGACGUGGUUCCUAAAUUAUCUGCACAGGAAAUUUUUACAUAUACACAUCAUAUGAGUAAAAUUUAUUCGAUUCCAAAUCUUGUAUUCAGUGGAGCAGAGAACCGAUCAUGGAUUUAAAGAAUGGAGUUACAGUAUGAUGUAAUCAUGCAUAAAUAUAGAAAAGCCCACAUUUGUACUCCUUGAAAAAAUUAAUUAACAAUUACACUUAACCAUGUGUAUGUACAAUUGCUAUUUUUCUUGAAACAUCAAGUACAACAAUUACCUUUAGAAUGGCAACAAUGUCCUCUUUGUAGUUCUUAUGUAAAUAGCGACAACAAAUACACUAUGAUGACAAUAGCCACAUCUCGCGUAGUGCUAAGUGCUGCUACGACCAAUUGACUCAUGCCCGGACACCUAUCAUGUAUAAACAUACAUAGAUGACUGACUGCUACAACUGAGUGCUUCCCAAUUCCUCAGGUUACAACAUGCAACUGAAGGAUGUACAUAAUCACAAACUGUCUUCAGUCAUAAUGCAGAUGAAGGUACAUAAUUAUUUGUUUUCUCAAUGCAUCAAAGCUCACUUCCAAUAAGAUGGAGGUGCAGCAUGCUGAGAGGGAGGGGGGAGGGGAAGAGAGAAGGAGGUUGCAUGGUCUCUAUCGUGUUAAUGAAUUGCACACCUUGAUAGCAGAAAUAUUAUAUAGCAACUAUGUAGUAGUUGGAUAAAAAAUAAAGAAGAUGUGCUGUAAUGAUAACUAAUAUUAUACAACAAACAAUAAUAUUCUCAAAACUCCUCAAAACUAAACCUCUAACAACUGUCAGUGGCUUGUAUCAAGUUGCAGGGGGCCCAUAUUAGAACUGUAGGAAGAUGAAACAUAUAAAGUCAUAUUACAUAAAAACAUGGAAGCAUAAACAUCAUUUAGUCAGGUAUUUCAGCUAGGAGCUUGCUCCACCCAGUCAAACACAACCCUUGCAAGCUCGUAUGUCCUAUUCCUAGAUUCGGUAUUGUUGCUUAGUUCUGCCUAUCAGACAAUAGCUCCUUCCUUUGUCCUUGUUCGGACAACAAAAUAAAGAGAUCUGUGAUCAAACCCUCCCACCCCCAACCCAUCAGAAAUUGUAGGACUAUGUAAUUGUCACCCAGGCUGUAGUAUGCUCACUAUCAACCCCACCAACACAAAAUUAGUCCAUCAGAAAUGCUACCAAAAUAGGCCAUGUAAUUUUUCCUACACUACAAUUCAGGAACUACUAACACCAAAUUCAUGUUGAUAUUCAGACGCACAAAUAGUCUACAUCAACUACUGCAUGGUACACGAAAAACAGGGAAUCACCUCUUCAUUCAACCAGGCACACCAGGAAUUACUUUCCCUGUUAAUUCCACCGACCACGCUGGCAUAUCUCCCUUCCUUGUCGACUCUAUUCAUCUGCUGCCGCUGUAGCAUAGACACAAUUGAGUGAUUUAGCCAAUGUGAAACUGAUGUUUUACUUGCACUUAACUUAAAUUGGAAGUAAAAAAUAAACUAUGCACAUCAGCAGAAAUGAUUAUCAACAAAGCCAUAAUGUAGUGCCAUGGGAAACAACACCAAAUAAAGCAUCAUUACUUUAUAGGUGCAAGAAAGAAAGAUGCUAGCAACAUUGCUGCACCCGAAACUGUAAAUAUCGAGUCCCCAGCCACUUGUUUGGCUUUCCUGAAAGAAGCUGCCAUCUAUAUUGAUCAAUCACCCAGCCAACAUCCCUUCGGAGACAACUAUUUCGUCGCUUCACUCGUCGUGCUCAUUCUCAGUUAGCACAACAUCUCCUUUAGGCUAGUCAAGCUACAAAAUUUUGCAAAACAUACCAGCAUUUGCCCAGACAUUGGGGAAAGGUGUAGGCGCCUUCGUCGUUGAAUCUGUGGACAACCAAAAAGAUGAAAUCAAUGUCCAUGCCUCCAAAAUCAACACAAUAUUUCCUCUCUCGAUCUCCUUGCUUGUUCCAUCCUCGCUCUGCUCAUCCAUGGGAGGCGGCAGAGCUAGAACAGGGGAGCCAGUGUGGGAUGGAGGCUGUCCAUGAGGAGUGACUGCAUGGGAUCCGGCAAGCAUCAUCUCUAUAGCAGGUUGUGACUUGUGAGCCACAUUGGAUUGGAGAGGACAUGGGUGUGGAGCCGGCGAGCAGCACCCCGGGGGAGUGGAAAUGAAGGUGCCAGGGAGAGGUGAUGGAUCCUUGUGCACGACAUCAAGGGGCCAUGGCAGAGAUGCCUUGGGAGGCGCGCCGAUGGUGAGGUGAGUCACCGUGGCGGGGUCGCGCAGAAUCAUGGCUUCCACCGGCGCUCCAUCAUGGCUACCGGCAGGUGUCGUUCUCCAGGGAGCCGGUGGCCGGGGCUUUGUCAAGGCUAUUGAACGGCGGAAGAGUACUAUGACAGCGACUAUAAUGGAAGGAGGGAGGUCGGCGAGGGUUGUCGGGAGAUGAGGCCGGAGGGAUCGGUGCGGCGGUGGAGGGAACCCUAACACCGGGGCUGUUGCCUUCUCGUAUGGGAGAGAGGCUUCGUCGAAUCAUUUUUUCAAUUAAAGAUUAAAGAUAAAUAUAUGGUGUACGGGUUGAUUCUAAUAAAGAUGAGGUGACUACGGAUAGGAAGAAGCAUAUUAUGACAUAGGAAGAAAGCGCAUUGCGACGGUGAACCCGACAGACUCAAUCCGUGCUUUAUUAUUAGGGAGAGAUGGUGGACUCUCAUGGCAAAACUAGGUUUAAGGAUAUUUGGAAGCACAAGUAGUAUCUCUACUUGGUGCAAGAAAUUUUGCUAGCAUGAGGGGGAAAGGCAAGCUCAACAUGUUUGAAUGAUCCAUGACAAUAUACUUUAAUUGAUAUGUGAGAAAACAUAAACCAUUACGUUGUCUUCCUUGUCCAACACCAAAUCUUUAGCAUGUCAUACUUUAGUGAGUGCUCACAAUCAUAAAAGAUGUCCAAGAUAGUAUAUUUAUAUGUGAAAACCUCUCUUUCUUUAUUACUUCCUAUUAAUUGCAACGAUGACCAAAACUAUGUUUGCCAACUCUCAACAACUUUUAAUCAUCAUACCCUCUAUAUGUGAAGUCACUACUAUCCAUAAGAUCAAUAUGAACCCCUUUUUUAUUCUUUUGUGCACUUAAGAUCAUAGCAAGAUAGCAAAGCCCUUGACUCAACACUAAUCUUUAUUAUAUAUAGCUCAUGGACUCGAUUACAUAGAGGGAUCACAAAGCAAAACUCAAAACUUAUUCAUACGAAAACUUUAUUCUACUAGAUCAAGAUAUUAUCAAAAGGAUCGAAUUAAGAAAAACGGUAAAGAUAGGAGUGUGAUGGUGAUACGAUACCGGGGCAACUCCCCCAAGCUUGGCAGUUGCCAAGGGGAGUUCCCAUACCCAUGUGAUUAUGUCCUCGGAGGUGGUGAAGAAGGGGUUGUUGAUGAUGUAGACUUGUCGUCCGUCUUCCAAGGCAUAGGCUCACCAUCAUAGAAGGAUGAUCGAGUCUCCGGGAUCCUCAAAUCUGCAGCCAAACUCAUCCUUUUGAAUCUAUAUUCAUACUCAUAGCUUUGGUUUUGCAGGUCAUAGAUCUGGGCAUGGAGGUGCUCGAUUUUCUCAUGAAGCUUAAAGAUGGUCUCCCCAAUGUUCUUGGCGUCCAGCUUGUGGUUGUUGGUGAACUCCGCGAUCAUCAUCUGGUUGGCGUUAAGUCCACGCUCCACCAUCCCUUGGCACUUGAAAACUUGUUGUUCCAUCGCUUCGAGCUUUGUCUCCACGCUUACUCCUUGGUCCCUCCACAUCGCGGAUGUGCAGCACCCCCUCACGCAUAUCAAUGGUUUGUGGGUGAUGCAGCACCUCCGCGAGGUAGGGGUUGAGGACCCUCUCGAAAAACUUGUCCUUGGGAGCGCUUGAAGACGUCAUGGUGCUCUAGAUCUGUCAGAAAAACAGCUCGAAACAAAGACAGCGGAUAUUUGCGUGAUACGGUGGUCUAAACCUUCGGGAGAUUAUAUAAUGAAUUUUUACCGACCAAAAGAAGUAUCGUGCAAGAAAAUGGAGUCCAGAGAGCACACGAGGUGCCCACGAGGCAGGGGGCGCACCCAGCAAGGUAGGGCGCGCCCUCCACCCUCGUGGACGCCUCGUGUCCUUCCCGGACUACUUCUUAUUUUCCUAUUUUCUUAAAUAUUCCAAAACGGAGAAAAAUUGAUAUUUGAACUAUUUUGGAGUCGGUUUACUUACCGCACCACAUACCUAUUCCUUUUCGUAGUCUGAAACGUUCUCGAAAGUGUCCCUUAUGUAUUCCUCCAGGGUUACGAUUUCAAUAAUAUUAGUUUCAACAUUUAUAGGAUACCUGAUAUAUAGUGUUUGAUUCUUUGACCGUUCACCACCUUUGGAUUUGUGCCUUCGAAGUUAUUGAUUUUUAUGGCACCGGAAUGAUAGACCUCCUUGAUAACGUAAGGGCCUUCCCAUUUAGAGAGAAGUUUUCCUGCAAAAAAUCUUAAACGGGAGUUGAAAAGCAAAACAUAAUCACCUAUGUUAAACUCACGCUUUUGUAUCCUCUUGUCAUGCCAUCUUUUAACUUUUUUCUUUAAACAGCUUGGCAUUCUCAUAAGCUUGGUUCUCCAUUCAUCUAGUGAGCUAAUAUCAAAUAACCUCUUCUCACCGGCAAGUUUGAAAUCAUAAUUUAGCUCUUUAAUAUCCCAAUAUGCCUUAUGUUCUAGUUCGAGAGGUAAGUGACAUGCUUUUCCAUAAACCAUUUUAUAUGGAGACAUACCCAUAGGAUUCUUAUCUGCAGUUCUAUAGGCCCAUAAUGCAUCAAGUUUCUUGGAGCAAUUCUCUAGAUCUAUUAACAGUAUUUUGCAAAAUUAAUUUGAGCUCUCUAUUACUCAACUCUACUUGACCACUAGACUGUGGGUGAUAAGGAGAUGCAAUUCUAUGAUUAACAUCAUACUAAGCAAGCAUUUUACGAAAAGCACCAUGAAUAAAAUGUGAACCACCAUCAGUCAUGAGAUAUCUAGGGACUCCAAACCUUGGAAAAAUAACUUCUUUAAACAUCUUAAUAAAAUGUUAUGAUUAGCACUACUAGUUGGAAUAGAUCCUACCCACUUAGUAACGCAAUCAACAGCAACUAAAAUAUGUGUAUACCCAUUAGAGGCAGGAAAAGGUCCCAUAUAAUGAAAGCCCCAAACAUCAAAUGGUUCAAUAACAAGAGAAUAAUUCAUAGUCAUUUCUUGACGUGUACUAAUAUUACCAAUUCUUUGACAUUCAUCACAAGACAAGACAAACUUACGGGCAUCUUUGAAGAGAGUAGGCCAAUAAAAACCGGAUUGCAAUACCUUAUGUGUAGUUCUAUCUCCAGCAUGGUGUCCUCCAUAUGACUCGGAGUGACACUGUAACACCCCAGUUGUAACAUGUCCCAAUUUGGCAAUAUAUCAACUUGACCUUCAUCCAAUUCUUGUGGGUUUUAUCAUGUUUGGCCUCACCUUGUUUGGUUAUGUGUUUUAUUCUUUUCAUUGUCAUGCUCACCUUACCAUAUUGCAUUUGUGCCUCUUGUCAUUUUGCAUUCAUCCUCAUCAUGUGCAUGUUGUGAUCUCAUACAUAUUAUGUUGUUGCAUGCUCAAUGCAUAAACCUUGCAUCACCACCUCCUCCUUCCCUCUACUUCCUUUUUUUGUCAAGUGCUAUUUUCCCUUCUCCUUAAAUGUUCAUAGUCUCCCUAUAAAUCUUGCUCCAUGCCCUAAACCUCUCUGCCAAAUAUCUCCUUAUUUGAAGUUGUUUUGGUCAGGUUCAAAAAUGACACAAAUUUGCAUUAUAUUCAAACUUGUCUUAUUUUUCUACCUCUAAAAAUGCCCAAUGCAAUUUAUUAAAAUAGUGGAUAAUUCCAGGAGUUUGAGAAUAUUUUCUUUAUACUCUAACUCCUCUACUGUUACCCUGUGCUUUUCUAUUUCUAUUUCUGUUUGCACAAAUAGAAAAAGAAGAGCAGAGCGCAGCAGCCCCCCUAGGCCUCCCGCAGCCCAGCCAAGGCUUUUCUGCCCGCUAGCCCAGCCAGCCGAGGCCUUUCCAGCCCAGCCAACGCAGCCUGCUAGCCCACUUGCGCGCUCUCGCGCUCACCCGCUCGCGCCCUCGUCGUUUCUCACCCAGCCGCGAUGCUACCCAGUAGCCCGUACGCCCACGUGUCCUUCGCGGCCCCACUAGCCAGCCUCUGGCUACAGCGCACCCGCCCCUCACCUUUUCGUCAAGCUCGCGCCUAGCGCGCACAUGGCCACGGCCGCGUCGACGCCGUGCUCCACCCGUCGCCCUGGCCCCCCUUUUAACCCCUCUCCAUGUCCACACAACCCCUAGGGUUUCCCUCUUCCUCUCAUCGCCGCCGCCAGGUGAGUAGAACCACCAGAUCCACCGCAACCGCUCCGUCCCGAGCGCACCUGAGAGCGCACCUCGUCGCCGGCGUGCUCUCCGAUCACCCCCAACCCCGUAGAUCGUGUCCUUCUUCUUCCUUGUCGUUGUCUUCUUCCACGACGUCGACUACGGUGCCCCGGACGACGAGUUCCUCGAUGUCCUCUGCUUCCACUUCCGCUCGGUCAGGACCGCGCCAAGGUUCAGAGCUCCAAUUCGUCGCCGUCAGCUCGUCUCCGUCGACCACUUCGUGUCCUUGGGUGAGCUGGGUAAUGCAUCGUCCUCUCCCAUCCAUACCUUUCGCGUUUAGGAACCUCCUAGGGUUCGUUCGAUUCGUGUCUUUGCCGUGCUCCCGGUGACCCAGCGUAGCUAUAACUAUCUGUUGCGCGCGUAGGUGCAGAAACGUCUCCGCGCCCUGGUUCGCGCCUAGCGCGCCCCUUCGCUGGCCUCACCCUGCCCGUGUGCACGCUCACUUCCGCGCGCACCCGGCCUUUCCGUGUGUCGCCGUAGUUGCUGCUGCCGCUCGCCGCGGACGCCAUGGCCCCGAGCCGAGCAACUGCCCGAGCUCGAGUGCCCCUGCAAUCCCCUCAUAGCUGCACGCAUCCUUACGCCUUUCCGCACGCUCGCCGAAGACCCUAUGCCCGUUGGUUGCCGCCGUUGCCCUCGCCGGCGCCAUCGUCUUCUCUGGUUGCAACAGAGGAGCUCGAUCUAGUGUCUAUCUAAAAGGGGCCGAACCCCUUUUCCUAUCAGUAGCACCUAGCUAGCCCAGUGCUUGCCGAUGCAGUACCACACCGGGGAGACCUGGGUUCGAUCCCCCGCGGGUGCAUUAUUCUUCCCCCCCUUUUUACUGUUUCUUUGCACUGUGAGUAUGACAGGGUGACCCCACCUGUCAUCCUCCCUUGGCCCUGUUUGUUAUUUUAUUUUUUUAUUUUAUUGUUGUUCCCUGCGAUAUUCCAUUUCUAGCAUAUGGAAUCUAUCCAUUUCGGGCAAGUCCAUUUCUGGACGUUUCCAAAUAUGGAAAAUGCCAUUUCUGUCAUAUUCCAUUUAGGGCAGGUUUUAUCUUAGUGCAUUUGUGAUGAUUUUUCUAAAGCAACCAUAACAUAUUAUAUAUGUUUUUGGGGUAGAAAAAUCCCACCAAUCCAGUGGUGGCAUUAGUUUCUGCAUUUGAGCAAGUUCAUGAACAUGUCAUCUCAAUCUAUGUUGCUGUUUUAAGCAGUUUGCAUCAUAUCUUGUCGUGCUUGUCAUUUGCAAACCGUGCACCUGAAUCCGGUGAUCUUUAUAUCGAUUUCAACCGAAAUCAUCUCAUCUUUCCAGUGGCAUACUUGGUUUGCCAAGUUGAUGCCUUGUUCAUCCUUUUUCCUCCUGGAGCACGCAUAUGCAUUGCAUAUCACAUCUCGCAUAUCAUGACAUGUAUUGCAUCAUGUUGUUUGUGCAUUGCACCGUGAUUUAUUGUGGUUCCUUGCUUGUUUUCUUGCUUUGGGUAGAGCCAGGAGACAAGUACGUGCAAGAGGAACCUGUUGAGUACGCUAACGAGGAUCAAGCCUUCGACAACUCUGAGAACCUUGCAGGCAAGAUGACCAUACCUUCGAUAUCACUUCUAUCUUUGCUUGCUAGUACUCGCUCUAUCGCUAUGUUAGCUCAACCUGCCAUUGUUUACCAUGCCUCCCCAUUGCCAUGUCAAACCUCUAACCAUCCUGUCCUAGCAAACCGUUGUUUGGCUAUGUCACCGCUUUUGCUCAGCCCCUCUUAUAGCGUUGUUAGUUGCAGGUGAAGAUGAAGUUUGUUCCUGGUCGGAACAUGAAUAUUUUGGGAUAUCACAAUAUCUCCUGUUUAAAUUAAUGCACCUUAUAUACUUGGUAAAGGGUGGAAGGCUCGGCCUUAUGCCUGGUGACUUGUUCCACUCUUGCCGCCCUAGUUUCCGUCAUACCGGUGUUAUGUUCCUUGAUUUUGCGUUCCUUACACGGUUGGGUGAUUUAUGGGACCCCCUUAACAGUUCGCUUUGAAUAAAACUCCUCUAGCAAGGCCCAAACUUGGUUUUACCAUUUGCCACCUAAGCCCUUUUCCCUUGGGUUUUCACGAGCCCAAGGGUCAUCUUUAUUUUAACCCCCCCCGGGCCAGUGCUCCUUCGAGUGUUGGUCCGAACUGAGCAGCCUGUGGGGCCACCUCGGGGCAACUUGAGGGUUGGUUUUACUCGUAGCUUGACUCAUCUGGUGU
rnacentral:lncRNA from 1 species